UACGUAGGCAGCAAGCGUUGUUCGGAAUUACUGGGCGUAAAGAGUGUGUAGGCGGUGCUCUAAGUCUGUUGUGAAAUCUCCCGGCUUAACCGGGAGGGUGCGGCGGAAACUGGAGUGCUUGAGGGUGGGAGAGGUAAGCGGAAUUCCUGGUGUAGCGGUGAGAUGCGCAGAUAUCAGGAGGAACACCGAUGGCGAAGGCAGCUCGCUGGGACGGUACUGACGCUGAGGCGCGAAAGCGUGGGGAGCAAACAGG
rnacentral:rRNA from 1 species